rnacentral:rRNA from 1 species
UUUAUGGAGAGUUUGAUCCUGGCUCAGGACGAACGCUGGCGGCGUGCCUAAUACAUGCAAGUCGAGCGGACAGAUGGGAGCUUGCUCCCUGAUGUUAGCGGCGGACGGGUGAGUAACACGUGGGUAACCUGCCUGUAAGA